AGAUAGAAUUUUUUCUUAAUGAAAUGUGUUCAUCAAAAACAGAUUUAAAUAAUAAUCCUUUUCUUUUUA
rnacentral:tRNA from 1 species